GUCAGGAUGGCCGAGCGGUCUAAGGCGCUGCGUUAAGUCUACUCUUGUAGGCGUGGGUUCGAAUCCCACUUCUGACU